GCGGGACACGUGGUAUCCUGUCUGAAUAUGGGGGGACCAUCCUCCAAGGCUAAAUACUCCUGACUGACCGAUAGUGAACCAGUACCGUGAGGGAAAGGCGAAAAGAACCCCGGCGAGGGGAGUGAAAAAGAACCUGAAACCGUGUACGUACAAGCAGUGGGAGCCUCUUAAUGGGGUGACUGCGUACCUUUUGUAUAAUGGGUCAGCGACUUAUAUUCUGUAGCAAGGUUAACCGAAUAGGGGAGCCGAAGGGAAACCGAGUCUUAACUGGGCGUUAAGUUGCAGGGUAUAGACCCGAAACCCGGUGAUCUAGCCAUGGGCAGGUUGAAGGUUGGGUAACACUAACUGGAGGACCGAACCGACUAAUGUUGAAAAAUUAGCGGAUGACUUGUGGCUGGGGGUGAAAGGCCAAUCAAACCGGGAGAUAGCUGGUUCUCCCCGAAAGCUAUUUAGGUAGCGCCUCGUGAAUUCAUCUCCGGGGGUAGAGCACUGUUUCGGCAAGGGGGUCAUCCCGACUUACCAACCCGAUGCAAACUGCGAAUACCGGAGAAUGUUAUCACGGGAGACACACGGCGGGUGCUAACGUCCGUCGUGAAGAGGGAAACAACCCAGACCGCCAGCUAAGGUCCCAAAGUCAUGGUUAAGUGGGAAACGAUGUGGGAAGGCCCAGACAGCCAGGAUGUUGGCUUAGAAGCAGCCAUCAUUUAAAGAAAGCGUAAUAGCUCACUGGUCGAGUCGGCCUGCGCGGAAGAUGUAACGGGGCUAAACCAUGCACCGAAGCUGCGGCAGCGACACUAUGUGUUGUUGGGUAGGGGAGCGUUCUGUAAGCCUGUGAAGGUGGCCUGUGAGGGUUGCUGGAGGUAUCAGAAGUGCGAAUGCUGACAUAAGUAACGAUAAAGCGGGUGAAAAGCCCGCUCGCCGGAAGACCAAGGGUUCCUGUCCAACGUUAAUCGGGGCAGGGUGAGUCGACCCCUAAGGCGAGGCCGAAAGGCGUAGUCGAUGGGAAACAGGUUAAUAUUCCUGUACUUGGUGUUACUGCGAAGGGGGGACGGAGAAGGCUAUGUUGGCCGGGCGACGGUUGUCCCGGUUUAAGCGUGUAGGCUGGUUUUCCAGGCAAAUCCGGAAAACCAAGGCUGAGGCGUGAUGACGAGGCACUACGGUGCUGAAGCGACAAAUGCCCUGCUUCCAGGAAAAGCCUCUAAGCAUCAGGUAACAUCAAAUCGUACCCCAAACCGACACAGGUGGUCAGGUAGAGAAUACCAAGGCGCUUGAGAGAACUCGGGUGAAGGAACUAGGCAAAAUGGUGCCGUAACUUCGGGAGAAGGCACGCUGAUAUGUAGGUGAAGCGACUUGCUCGUGGAGCUGAAAUCAGUCGAAGAUACCAGCUGGCUGCAACUGUUUAUUAAAAACACAGCACUGUGCAAACACGAAAGUGGACGUAUACGGUGUGACGCCUGCCCGGUGCCGGAAGGUUAAUUGAUGGGGUUAGCGGUAACGCGAAGCUCUUGAUCGAAGCCCCGGUAAACGGCGGCCGUAACUAUAACGGUCCUAAGGUAGCGAAAUUCCUUGUCGGGUAAGUUCCGACCUGCACGAAUGGCGUAAUGAUGGCCAGGCUGUCUCCACCCGAGACUCAGUGAAAUUGAACUCGCUGUGAAGAUGCAGUGUACCCGCGGCAAGACGGAAAGACCCCGUGAACCUUUACUAUAGCUUGACACUGAACAUUGAGCCUUGAUGUGUAGGAUAGGUGGGAGGCUUUGAAGUGUGGACGCCAGUCUGCAUGGAGCCGACCUUGAAAUACCACCCUUUAAUGUUUGAUGUUCUAACGUUGGCCCCUAAUCGGGGUUGCGGACAGUGUCUGGUGGGUAGUUUGACUGGGGCGGUCUCCUCCUAAAGAGUAACGGAGGAGCACGAAGGUUGGCUAAUCCUGGUCGGACAUCAGGAGGUUAGUGCAAUGGCAUAAGCCAGCUUGACUGCGAGCGUGACGGCGCGAGCAGGUGCGAAAGCAGGUCAUAGUGAUCCGGUGGUUCUGAAUGGAAGGGCCAUCGCUCAACGGAUAAAAGGUACUCCGGGGAUAACAGGCUGAUACCGCCCAAGAGUUCAUAUCGACGGCGGUGUUUGGCACCUCGAUGUCGGCUCAUCACAUCCUGGGGCUGAAGUAGGUCCCAAGGGUAUGGCUGUUCGCCAUUUAAAGUGGUACGCGAGCUGGGUUUAGAACGUCGUGAGACAGUUCGGUCCCUAUCUGCCGUGGGCGCUGGAGAACUGAGGGGGGCUGCUCCUAGUACGAGAGGACCGGAGUGGACGCAUCACUGGUGUUCGGGUUGUCAUGCCAAUGGCACUGCCCGGUAGCUAAAUGCGGAAGAGAUAAGUGCUGAAAGCAUCUAAGCACGAAACUUGCCCCGAGAUGAGUUCUCCCUGAGACUUAGAGUCUCCUGAAGGAACGUUGAAGACGACGACGUUGAUAGGCCGGGUGUGUAAGCGCAGCGAUGCGUUGAGCUAACCGGUACUAAUGAACCGUGAGGCUUAACCUUACAACGCCGAAG
rnacentral:rRNA from 1 species